rnacentral:rRNA from 1 species
GACGAACGCUGGCGGCGUGCUUAACACAUGCAAGUCGAACGGAAAGGCCCUGCUUUUGUGGGGUGCUCGAGUGGCGAACGGGUGAGUAACACGUGAGUAACCUGCCCUUGACUUUGGGAUAACUUCAGGAAACUGGGGCUCAUACCGGAUAGGAGCUCCUGCUGCAUGGUGGGGGUUGGAAAGUUUCGGCGGUUGGGGAUGGACUCGCGGCUUAUCAGCUUGUUGGUGGGGUAGUGGCUUACCAAGGCUUUGACGGGUAGCCGGCCUGAGAGGGUGACCGGCCACAUUGGGACUGAGAGACGGCCCAGACGCCUACGGGAGGCAGCAGUGGGGAAUAUUGCACAAUGGGCGGAAGCCUGAUGCAGCAGCGCCGCGUGCGGGAUGACGGCCUUCGGGUUGUAAACCGCUUUCGCCUGUGACGAAGCGUGAGUGACGGUAAUGGGUAAAGAAGCACCGGCUAACUACGUG